rnacentral:lncRNA from 1 species
UUCCCGGUGUUUUUCCCGUUGAUUCCCGGUGUUUUUCCCGGUGUUUUCCCAGCGUGGGGGCGCGCUCCGGCGGGGCCCGCAGGCGCGGGCGAUGCUGCGGAUGAAGUCGGCGCUGCCGUACGCGCUCGGGGCCCUGGACUGGGACCCCCCGCACCUGCACAACCUCCAGCACUGCUACUGCUACUGCGGCGGGCCCGGACACUGGAACCUGAAGAUGCUGCAGUGCUGCCGCUGCUGGCAGUGGUUCCACGAGGCCUGCACCCAGUGCCUCUCCAAGCCGCUGCUCUACGGCGACAGGUGACGCCCCCGGGUGCUCUACGGCGACAGGUGACGCCCCCGGGGGCCUUGCCAGAAUUUUGGGGGGGGGUUUGGGGGAAUUUUCCCAAGUUUUGGGGAAAUUUGGGAAUUUUUCCCGAUUUUUGGGGAAUUUGGGGAAUUUUCCCGAUUUUUGGGGAAUUUUCCCGAUUUUUGGGGAAUUUUUGGGAUUUUUUUUCCCGAUUUUUGGGGAAUUUUUGGGAUUUUUUUUCCCGAUUUUUUGGGGCUUUGAUCCCAUGAAAUUUGGGAUUUUUUAAUGUUAUUUUGGGGGAAUUUUCCCGAUUUUGGGGAGGGUUUGGGAGUUUUCUCAUUAUUUUAGAGUUUUAGGGAAUUUUUCAUGGUUUUUUGGGGAAUUUUGGGAAUUUUUUCCAGAUGUUUUGGGGCUUUGUUUCCUGUGAUUUUAGGAUUUUUGGAUGUCAUUUUGGGGAUUUUUCCUGAUUUUUUGGGGGGGAGGUUAGGAUUUUUCCCAUUAUUUUGAGGGUUCUGGGAUUUUUCCUGGUUUUGGAGGAAUUUUGGGGAUUUUUCCCGAUUUUUAGGGAAUUUUUCCCAAUUUUUGGGGAAUUUUUUUGAUUUUCUUUUGGAUUUUUUAGGGCUUUUUUUCUGUGAUUUUUGGGAUUUUUUGAUGUUAUUUUGGGGAUUUGUUCUGAUUUUUUGGGGGGGGCUUUUGGGAUUUUCUCGUUAUUUUGGGGUUUUAGGGAAUUUUGGGGUUUUUGGGGAAUUUUAGGGAUUUUUUCUGGAUUUUUGGGGGAUUUGGGGGGAAUUUUGGGGGAAUUUUUUUGGAAUUUUUUGGGGCUUUUCCCCGUGAUUUUGAUUUUUUUUUUUCAUUAUUUUGGGAUUUUUUUUAUAUUAUUUUGGGAGGGUUUUUGGGAUUUUCCCAAUUUUUGUGAUCUUUUUCCUGGUUUCUUGGGAUUUUGGGGGAAUUUUGGGAUUUUUCACGAUUUUUGGGGAAUUUUCAGGAUUUUUUUCCCAAUUUUUUUGGGUUUUCUCCCGUGAUUUUGGGUUUUAUUUUGUUAUUUUGGGAGGGGUUUGGGGAUUUUUCCCGAUUUUUUUCCGGGAUUUAUGGGAUUUUUCCCAGUUUUUAGGGAAUUUGGGAAUUUUUCCCAAUUUUUUGAGGCUUUUUCCCAUGAUUUUGGAUUUUUUUAAUUUCCCAAUUUUUUGAGGCUUUUUCCCAUGAUUUUGGAUUUUUUUAACGUUAUUUUGGGUGGAUUUGGGGGAUUUUUCCCAUUAUUUUGGGAAGCUU